UACGUAGGGUGCGAGCGUUAAUCGGAAUUACUGGGCGUAAAGCGUGCGCAGGCGGUUAUUUAAGUCAGGUGUGAAAGCCCUGGGCUUAACCUAGGAAUUGCGCUUGAGACUGGAUAGCUUGGAGUGCGGCAGAGGGAGGUGGAAUUCCACGUGUAGCAGUGAAAUGCGUAGAGGAUGUGGAGGAACACCGAUGGCGAAGGCAGCCUCCUGGGCCAGCACUGACGCUCAUGCACGAAAGCGUGGGGAGCAAACAGG
rnacentral:rRNA from 1 species